AGUUUAAUCAACGUCAGAUAUUUAACACUGUCCGGUUCUCAAACACUGGGAGCACUUCACAAGGAAACAUUGGACAUCAAAUUCCCAGUGUUUCAUAAUCUUAGAACUUUGCUGUUCGACGAAUGUGAUCUGACUGACAACUUUCAGAUACUAGGAUUCUUUCUGAACAUGUCCUCUAGGUUAGAGAUGCUUCCUCUGCAAUGUUGCCAGCUUCCAGAAGGUUUUGUCGAAAGGAAGACAGGGGAUGGUCCGAAUACAACGCCUCUAAAAUAUCAGGACAUAGUUACUUUCAAGUGCCCGGACUUUAAGUGGAAUGAAAUCAAAUAUCAACAAGAUGACAAUGUAAACAAAUUGUUUGACCUUUUGAUUCGUGUUUGGAGGAAC